rnacentral:lncRNA from 1 species
UCAUUUUCACCUUUGCAUCUUUUAAAAAAAAAAAAAACUAAAAACUUUCAAAGGCUCUCUCAUUUCUCUUCCCAUUUUUGUCAGACGACGCCUCCAUCAAAGAUCCCACGUGCCAUGGUCGCCGACGGCACGAGCACGGCUCCGGUAAGACCCCUCCUCCCUCUCUUAUACUUCAUAUUUGUAUUAAAUCUGAAUGAAAAGAGGAGAAAGAAAUAAAAAAAAUAAAGACAAAAAUAGAGUACAAGAAAUAAUCACCUUUCCAGUAUUUUCUUGUGUGCUUUCUAUUAAUUUUUUUUCAAUGUAUUUUGUAUACAACUUGUGUUCUACCUCUUUGAGAAAAAGGAAAAAGAAAGGAAAAGAAAAACCCCCCACCCACCAUCAUUAUUCGGGCUCUUUAUAGCUAAAAAUACAACCAACUUCUCUACUGUUUUUGCUAUCUCCUCACAGGUAUGGCGACGUGAGGUAGUCGUGGGCGUGCCGACGUAGAGAGUAGCGCACGAGUCUGAGGGGCAACGUAUGGCGCUUGGGAACUGACUUGGCUGCAGUGGCUGAAGCAUUUAGGACUAAGGUUUUCUGCUUGGGUAGUGUUUUUUUAA